rnacentral:piRNA from 1 species
UAAAAUUGAAACAACGUUUUU